rnacentral:tRNA from 1 species
GCGGGUGUGGCGGAACUGGCAGACGCACCGGAUUUAGGUUCCGGCGCCGCGAGGCGUGGGGGUUCGAGUCCCUUCACCCGCACCA